rnacentral:rRNA from 1 species
UACGUAGGUGGCGAGCGUUAUCCGGAUUUACUGGGUGUAAAGGGCGUGUAGGCGGGUUUGCAAGUCGGGUGUGAAAGAUUCGGGCUUAACCCGGAGAGGUCAUCCGAAACUGCAGAUCUUGAGUGCUGGAGAGGAUAGUGGAAUUCCUGGUGUAGCGGUAAAAUGCGUAGAGAUCAGGAGGAACACCAGUGGCGAAGGCGGCUAUCUGGACAGUAACUGACGCUGAGGCGCGAAAGCGUGGGUAGCAAACAGGAUUAGAUACCCUGGUA